ACGCACGCUGGCGGCGUGCUUAACCCAUGCAAGUCGAACGGUGAAGCUCCAGCUUGCUGGAGUGGAUCAGUGGCGAACGGGUGAGUAACACGUGAGCAACCUGCCCCUGACUCUGGAAUAAGCGCUGGAAACGGCGUCUAAUACUGGAUACGAGAAGGGUCCGCAUGGGCACUUUCUGGAAAGUUUUUCGGUUGGGGAUGGGCUCGCGGCCUAUCAGCUUGUUGGUGAGGUAAUGGCUCACCAAGGCGACGACGGGUAGCCGGCCUGAGAGGGCGACCGGCCACACUGGGACUGAGACACGGCCCAGACUCCUACGGGAGGCAGCAGUGGGGAAUAUUGCACAAUGGGCGAAAGCCUGAUGCAGCGACGCCGCGUGAGGGAUGACGGCCUUCGGGUUGUAAACCUCUUUCAGCAGGGAAGAAGCGAAAGUGACGGUACCUGCAGAAGAAGCACCGGCUAACUACGUG
rnacentral:rRNA from 1 species